rnacentral:rRNA from 1 species
CAGUCGCCACGGUAAUACGUAGGUGGCAAGCGUUGUCCGGAAUUAUUGGGCGUAAAGGGCUCGCAGGCGGUUUCUUAAGUCUGAUGUGAAAGCCCCCGGCUCAACCAGGGAGGGUCAUUGGAAACUGGGAAACUUGAGUGCAGAAGAGGAGAGUGGAAUUCCACGUGUAGCGGUGAAAUGCGUAGAGAUGUGGAGGAACACCAGUGGCGAAGGCGACUCUCUGGUCUGUAACUGACGCUGAGGAGCGAAAGCGUGAGGAGCGAACAGGAUUAGAUACCCGCGUAGUCCCUGUCUCUUAUAC